AGAAAAUAAAAUCAUAAUAAAGUAAAUAUCAAAUUACAUUUUAUGUUAGUAUUAUAUGUAGUAGGGACCUAUAGUGGCAUAAACAACGCCCGGACCGAGAAAGCAUGUACUAGAAAGACGCCACCAUAGGAAAAUCCAGUAGUGAUGAUGAUCCGGAAACACACAGACGUCUACACACAAUGGUAAACAAACAACAGGUAAACAGGUAAAUUUUAAGUAAGAAUUUUUACGCGUAAUUUAGGCGACGGGUACACAGGAUUCGCGUGUAAAACAUUUAUUUAUACAUAGAUUAUCUUGAAAUACUCAGUAUCGUUAAAGAACACAUAUAGCUAGAUCGAUAGAUCAUUUUUAGUAAAAUAAUAACAAUAAAAUAAGCAAAAUCACAGAGAAACGGUCGAAUUUUGAUAAAAUUAACCGCAAAAUUUCAUACAGCGCGAUCGUAAAUAUCAUUUUUAUACAAUAUGUAAAGUAAUUAAUACCGAUAUAAACAUAAAAUAUAGACUUUGGGCAAUAAAGUGCAAAAAACAGAUCUGAAAAACAUUAAAAAAUGACAAAAUGACAGCAUUUUUAAAACACAGUGUAAAACGGUAUCGGUAAAUUACAUUCAAAGACUCUAGAAUAUAGAUUAAACAUAUUUGUCGAUAUGACACAUUUAUGCAGUAGGCGUGGCGUGUAAUCUAUAAAUAACCUGUGUACUGUCAACAAUCGGACGUAUAUUAUAAAUGUUAUCACUGUAUGCUGUCACGUGACCUGGUGUACGGCGAGAAAAAUGCAAGAUGGUGGACGUGGAUAUUGGGGAAAGACGAAAUGCUUACAAGUAUGAACGACCCAAAGUUCAGGAAAUAUAUUAAGAAACUGACCAGCGACAAAUAUGGUGUGGAUUUAAACAGGAAAAAACAAGACAAAGCACCCGAGGAAGCUUCAUUUAGAAAACUAAACGUUGAAUAACAGUAUAGAUUCCAUUCUUUUUUCAGAAAUAAAGAAUUCUGAAUUGUGA